UACAGAGGGUGCGAGCGUUAAUCGGAAUUACUGGGCGUAAAGCGUGCGUAGACGGCUAUCUAAGUCGGGUGUGAAAGCCCCGGGCUCAACCUGGGAAUUGCAUUCGAGACUGAAUAGCUAGGGUACGGUAGAGGGAAGCGGAAUUUCCGGUGUAGCGGUGAAAUGCGUAGAUAUCGGAAGGAACAUCAGUGGCGAAAGCGGCUUCCUGGACCAGUACCGACGUUCAGGCACGAAAGCGUGGGGAGCAAACAGGAUUAGAAACCCCAGUAGUCC
rnacentral:rRNA from 1 species